AUCGUUGCCCCCCCAAACUCCGGUUCGGGCGGGGCGGAAGUUGGCCUCCCGUGCGUGCCUGCGCGCGCGGUUAGCCCAAAAGCGAGUCCUCGACGACGAGCGCCACGACAAUCGGUGGUUUUCUUGCCCUCGUUCCUCGUCGUGCACGCCCCGUCGCUCGAACGCGCUCCUCGACCCUCACGSGUCGUCGCAUCGGCGGCGCUCCCAA
rnacentral:misc_RNA from 1 species